CCAAUAGCGUAUAUUAAAGUUGUUGCAGUUAAAAGCUCGUAGUUGAAUUUCGGGGUCAGCAGGUUGGUCGUGCCUAUGGUAUGAACUGGCUUCGCUGGUCUCUCCUUUCUGAAGAACUGUAAUGCCAUUAAUUUGGUGUUGCAGGGACACAGGACUGUUACUUUGAAAAAUUAGAGUGUUUAAAGCAGGCUAACGCUUGAAUACAUUAGCAUGGAAUAAUGAAAUAGGACGUUCGAACCUAUUUUGUUGGUUUCUAGGAUUGACGUAAUGAUUAAUAGGGAUAGUUGGGGGCAUUAGUAUUCAAUUGUCAGAGGUGAAAUUCUUGGAUUUAUUGAAGACUGACUACUGCGAAAGCAUUUGCCAAGGAUGUUUUCAUUAAUCAAGAACGAAAGUUAGGGGAUCGAAGACGAUCAGAUACCGUCGUAGUCUUAACCAUAACUAUGCCGACUAGGGAUCGGAUGAUGUAAUUUUUAAUGACUCAUUCGGCGCCUUACGGGAAA
rnacentral:rRNA from 1 species